rnacentral:rRNA from 1 species
CUAGAGUAUUAAUAGUUAUUUUCUUUAAACUUAAAAAAUUUGGCGGUAUUUUAAUCUAUUCAGAGGAACUUGUUCUUUAAUCGAUAAUCCACGAUGGACCUUACUUGGUUUUGUUAAUUAGUUUGUAUACCGUCGUUAUAGAAAAUUUUAUUAGAAUAAUAAUUUUCAAUAAAUUUAAUUGAAUUUAAUAUCAGAUCAAGGUGCAGCUUAUAAUCAAGAAAGUAAUGAGUUACAAUAAAAUAAUUUAAAUGGAUAUAAAUAUGAAAAAUUUAUUGAAAGUGGAUUUGAAAGUAAAAUUAUAUAGAUUAAUAAUUUGAUUUUAGCUCUAAAAUAUGUACAUAUCGCCCGUCACUCUUACUUAUUAAGGUAAGAUAAGUCGUAA